UUCACUGAAACACUCAAUUGAAUUCAUUAGUAAUUAAAAGAUAUACUCAAAUGCUUUGAGCUCAUCAAAAUCAAAUGGGGUUUUAAUCAAUCACUCCACAAUCUCCCCCUUUUUGAUGAUGACAAAAUAUUGAGUAUAUGUAAAAUGAAUUGCUCAAUAAAUAAUGAAAUAAAAUCCAUAAAUGAAUUCAAAUGUCUGGUAAUUCAAUUUUAUCCAAGC
rnacentral:lncRNA from 1 species